rnacentral:rRNA from 1 species
AGGAUGAACGCUGGCGGCGUGCCUAAUACAUGCAAGUCGAGCGGGAGAAUCAUCCUCCGGGAUGAGGAUCCAGCGGCGAACGGGUGAGUAACACGUGGCAACCUGCCCGCAAGACCGGGAUAACUCCGGGAAACCGGGCUAAUACCGGAUAGGCCCUUUCCCUGCAGUGGGGAAAAGGGAAGGCGGCUUCGGCUGUCACUUGCGGAUGGCCCGCGGCGCAGUUAGCUGGUUGGUGAGGUAACGGCUCACCAAGGCGACGAUGCGUA